GUGACGCGGACUCGAACAGCCAAGCUGAGAGCGACUGCAGGAAGACUAUAGGAAAGGCUCAUUAGCCGCAGACAGUUGACAGGACAAAGCUGGAUUGUUCUUUCCCCUCUGCUCAGCCUCAAUGUCGACCCCCGUAUCACCCUUUAGUCCGCCAUCAUCCGUCGUCCACGAAUUAAGGAUCUUGCUUCUCGGGCUCGUCAACCGGCAAUCCAAAUCAGAUAAAUGACUUAGUUUUUAUGUAUCAUAACUCAUCGUAACAUGAAUGUAUCCCAUCGUAAGGGCGAUUUCACUUUUGCAAUAAGAAACAGAAGAUGUUUUGUGUGACAUCGCAUAUGCCAGGUACCGGAAUCCAUUGUGCCACUUGUUGCAGUUUUGAAAUAACUUUCUUCUCAGAGAAACAGAGGACAGCGACAUAAUUCAAUUUACCUAUAAUAAAUUGUAUUUCAAAAUAUACAAUUAAGAAAAGAAUUGUAACGCUAUCUGUCAGCGAUUAAUUUAUAUUUCAAUUUAUAACAUAUCGAAGUGAUUUCGCUUUUACCUCGUGUUAAAGUUUAUAUUCAGUCAUGGUGGAACGUUAAUAUAGAUCAUAUUAAUAACCUUCCACACGUUGAACCAUGCAUACAUUAAUAAAAUUUGCGCAAAUAUAUGCCAGCUGUGACUGCGACGAUUAAAUCGCCAACAUUAUUUAUUGAACAGGUUUCCUACGAUUAAUUACAUUAAACCGGACUUACAGGAUUAAAAUCCGCUUGAUAUAUAUGAUUCAUUAUAUUUUGUUCGUUAUGCAAUUUAAAAAAAAAAAGAUAUAUUUAAGAUGUUUACCCAGUAAAUGUUUGUCAUUAUGUUCUAUUCUAGGUAAACUUUUUAACUAAGAAGCGAACGUUAUACAAAGAUCAUUUGAAGUUUUAUUAGAAGCUUGUUAAAGUAUCAAAGAAUCAAUUAAAAAAUGAAAAAUUCGAACGUUCUUUAAUUAACUACAUAACAUUCUUCUUUGCAAUUAAACAUUACAUUUGCAGAACAUUUCAAUCCUAACGAGACAUAUGCGAUGAAUUAAAAAAAAAAAAACUCAACUAAAACACAUACAAAUGACUAAAUAACGACGAACGAAAAGCUGAAAAAAGCUGGACGUAGAUCGAAAUUAAUGGAAAGCGAACACGAGGGAGAAGAACGAUCUACAAUUCGUUUUCGUCCACAUGUGUCAGGUCGGGCCAAAACGCAACCCCGCCGUUACGGCGUCUCGGCUGAUUUAUCGAAAUUUCACGUCGAAUUGGCUCGCACGGGGAUCAACCAACAGUGAAUCGGAGGACAGACCGAAAAGAACGUGGCUGUUAGUCGGCCGGCUCAUAAUUUGUUCACGGUUAUUUUUAGGCGAGUCUCAAUCUCGUCGUGUCGACACGAAUGAGAGUGACUCCUCGGCGCCAGUGGUACUGUCAGUCGUAACAGUGACAACGAGACCGACCGUUCGAUGCUGGAACGAAAAUAAAUCCCUGGAUGGGCUACGAAGGCUCGCAAGAGCCACGGAUCCUCGUGGAAUUUCGGGACACGUGUGCAAACACUGCGGCAAAGCUCGUUAUUGUUCGCCAGCUAGAAUUCCCGCGGUUUUAUUCAUCGACGAUUUCGCGAACAACGCUGCCUUUAUCCUGUUCUGGAUUUCCCGUCAACGAACGCUUAAAACGAUUUCUGCGAAUGGCUACGGUUUACGUGGAAAUGUACUGCUAUAUCCAGGAUAGAAAUUGUAAAUUAAUAGAAUACGAAGAAAUUUUUAUACACUUAAAUUUACGAUUUGGGAAAGUUAUCAUUUUCAUAAAUUUAACCUUGCGAUUCGGAAGUUACGGUUUUUGUAGAUUUAACUUUACAAUUUGGAUAGAACCUUCGUUGUUUAAAUUCGAAUUCUUCGAUACAAAAAGUGUACAGAGAUAACAAAUGAUACAUUGGUGAUACAAUGAUGUACAAACGAUACUGCCAAAGCUAAGAAACGAUAAAUAAUCAUAAAAACCCCAAAACUGUAUAACAUUGAACGUAUAUUACUUUCAAGCAUUUAUGGUAUCCAACAAGUUAGGAAAAAACGACGUACAUAUAACAACAAAUACGUAUAAACAAAUAAGUAAUUCAUAUCAUCCGAACAUAUUAGAAAUUAACAAGGAAAAAGUGUGAGAUUAGUAAAUAAUU